GAUGAACGCUGGCGGCGUGCUUAAUACAUGCAAGUCGAGCGAACAGAUAAGGAGCUUGCUGCUUAGUCGUUAGCGGCGGGGGGGUGAGUAACACGUGGGUAACGUACCGAUAAGACUGGAAUAACUCCGGGAAACGGGGGCAAAUGCGGGAUAACAUUUAGAAGCGUAUGGUUCUAAAGUGAAAGAUGGUUUUGCUAUCACUUAUGGAUGGACCCGCGCCGUAUGAGCUAGUUGGUAAGGUAACGGCUUACCAAGGCAACGAUACGGAGGCGACAUGAGAGGGUGAUCGGCGACAUGGGAAGUGAGACACGGUCCAGACUCCUACGAGACGCAGCAGUAGGGAAUCUUCCGCAAUGGGCGAAAGCCUUACGGAGCAACGCCGCGCGAGUUAUGAAGGUCUUCGGAUCGUGAAACUCUGUUAUUAGGGGAGAACAAAUGUGUAAGUAACUGUGCAGGUCUUGACGGUACCUGAACAGAAAGCCCCGGCUAACUACGUG
rnacentral:rRNA from 1 species